AUUGAACGCUGGCGGCAGGCUUAACACAUGCAAGUCGAACGAGUCGCGGACGGGUGAGUUAUGCUUGGGAAUCUAGCUUAUGGAGGGGGAUCACUACGGGAAACUGUAGCUAAUACCGUGUACCCUAGGAUGAGCCCAAGUGGGAUUAGGUAGUUGGUGGGGUAAAGGCUCACCAAGCCGACGAUCUCUAGCUGGUCUGAGAGGAUGACCAGCCACACUGGAACGGAGACACGGUCCAGACUCCUACGGGAGGCAGCAGUGGGGAAUAUUGCGCAAUGGGGGCAACCUGACGCAGCCAUGCCGCGUGUAUGAAGAAGGCCUUCGGGUUGUAAAGUUCUUUCGGUAGCGAGGCGUUAACAACAGAAGAAGCACCGGCUAACUCCGUGCCAGCAGCCGCGGUAAUAC
rnacentral:rRNA from 1 species